rnacentral:rRNA from 1 species
GGUUGAUCCUGCCAGUAGUCAUAUGCUUGUCUCAAAGAUUAAGCCAUGCAUGUCUAAGUAUAACUAUUUAUACUGGGAAACUGCGAAUGGCUCAUUAAAUCAGUUAUAGUUUAUUUGAUGGUACCUUACUACUCGGAUAACCGUAGUAAUUCUAGAGCUAAUACGUGCGCAACUCCCAACUUCGGAAGGGACGUAUAUAUUAGAUCAAAGACCGACCGGGCUUGCCCGUUUUUCGGUGACUCAUGAUAUUUCCACGAAUCGCAUGGCCUUGUGCCGGCGAUGUUUCAUUCAAA